CGCGGGGUAGCGCAGCGGCAGAGCGUCGGGCUCAUACCCCGAAGGACGCGGGUUCGAACCCCGCCCCCGCAA
rnacentral:tRNA from 1 species